rnacentral:lncRNA from 1 species
AGAUGUAAUUUAUUCAGUGGGGAAGGACAACCCCCUAGCUGUCCAAUGGCUCCUGGAGCCAGAGAGAUGGCACCCAGCAUGCUGCAGUCUAGCCUCUCCCACUGACCACCUGAGCCUGCUGAAGCUGGCUUAUAUAAGGCUUUGGAAAGAGAAAGGGCUUUGGUGACUCUCUGGAAAUCAGGAAAAACUGUUCCAAGAUGUGUGUUAGAGAAGGUCAGGAUCUCGUGUUUAAUAAGCAGUUUUAGGCCUGACUUCUCUAAGGACAGUGUGUAUGGGCCUGUUUUCCCCCAGUACAUAGGGUCAGAGUCCUGCCAGCAAUAGCCAAAACAUGGUAGAAUCAGUCAAGAGAUCUAACAAAAGUGCUCUUGGAGGAAGAACUUCAGAGAAAGAAGCAAAUUUUAUGCUGAGAAAUCAUGAUUCCACACUCUGGAGUGAGAACUCUAGAUAGUUUACUCUGUGGUCACUUACUCGUAUUUCUACAUAGAUGGAAGGUCUCGGCCCUGGAGUUCUGGUCUACCUUUCUGCUCCUUUUUCUCCAAGGAACAGACCAGCUUCCGCAGGAAUGAACCCAGAAAACAGUCUACAACUAUAUUUCCAGCACAGGGGCUGGCACACACUGAGUGCUGAACUGAACUGAACAGAUGCUGUAAGCAAGAAAGAGUCAAAUUUUGCAAGAUUUUACUGAGGAGGAAGGCACUACCUCAAAGCCAGUGUUUUCUGGGGGGCAAUUCCUACAUUCCAGGCCCGCUUCAAGAAUUGAUGUGCAACCCAGCGUAGGGAAGAACUGCUUCUGGACUGCACCUGAGGCAGCACCACCGGCAACGGAGCCCCGCCACCUGCUGUACCCGUCCACCUUCUCUGGUUGACCUCCCUGGGGCCAGACAGCCCACUCAGAGUCCGUGCUCCCUCCUAUGGAGAUGAAGGAGCUGUGUCCACAGGCGUGCACACAGGGAGAACGCCGUGGGAACCUGCAGGCAGAGACUGGGGGUGCAUCUACCAGCCAAGGAACACCCAGGACUGCCAGCAGUACCAGGAAGUUGCAGAGCAACACGGGCAUCCUCCUUACCGCUCUCAGAAGAUUCCAGCCCUGCAGAUACCUGAACCUUCAGUUUCCAACCUCCAGACCUGGAAGACAGUAAAGCUCUGUUGUUG